AGAUGUGAUCACACGCCCAGUCCGGCAACCGCACGGGAAGUCUCUCCCCCUAGACUGUGCUCCAUGGGGUGGGCCCAGGCCUUGUGCUGUUUUUACUUAUAUCCCCCAUGGAGACCAGAGCUAGGCACAGAGUACAGCAGCACCCCAACUUUCAGCCGGUUACCCAUACAUCUCUCAUGUCAUUAAGAACAAUGAAACUAUAGCACACACACAUUCCAGUGGAAAAAAAUAAUUUUCAAAGUUCCCUGGAGUUCGUUGCAGUGGAAUCCAUGGCCCAGAGUAAUUAAAAAAAGCAAUCUUCGUGUCAGCUCCUCCCUGGCAGACUUAGCCUGCCAGAGCUAAUGAGACAGGCCACCCUUCAGCCAACCUCAUCAGUGACGACCACGCGGCCAGGAAGUCCUUGAUGUGCGAUGUGCAGUAGCUAACAAGGGCCCCCCUGCUGCGAAGCAACAACUUGCUGGGCAUGGAGCAGGGACCCACGGGUUCCCAUCAUUGCCUCCGGGCUAGUGGGACCCACAACUGUGCCAACACAGGGGCUUUGCUGGGCUGGCAAGUGCAGGGGGCCCCAGCCAGGCAGUUUCAGAAGAGCAGGCAUGACGCCAAGGCCUAGGAAGGAGGCCACAGAGUCCCGAGUAUCCCAGGGGGUCUUUGCUGGGAUCUGGCAUUGGGUGCCUCUCCCGCUACGCAGGGAUGGAGAGAAAAGACACCGAGAGUCCUGGGGCUGAUGAAGAGCUUGAGCUCAGAGCCUGACCACCCACAGACAGCAGAGUGAUGGACGCCUCCAUGACACAGAACGCAGCCCUCCCUGCAAAAUCACAGCCUGCAGCAUCUCAGGGCCCGUCUUCCACCCCAGCCCAUUGUCAUUCUGCAUAAAAGCAGAAAAAAAAAAAAAAAAGGCACCAAACUGCACCAAGCGUGCAACAGAUGCAGCUCAAACAAACUCGUGUACGACACGGAAGAGACAAAAGCGUUGCCGGCAACUUGUUUGGGACACACAUGAUACAGAAAGGUGACGAAACAUCACAGAUCUGUGGAAAAACAACUAAACUGCAAACUGAAGAAUGGGCUUGGGCAGACCACUCACAGAAGAAAUCCCAAAAGCCAAUAAAUGACUUGAAACUAUCCAGUGUCACUAUUAAAGAAAUGCAGAUGUAAAUAAAGUUUGACUUUCAAACCAGCAAAAAAUGUAUGAAACUAUGAAGCUCGAUGUGUGUGAUCAUCAGCAGAGGCCGACGCUGCAGGCAGGGCCAAAUCUUCUGACCCUGGCCCCCAGGGAGGAACCCAGAGGCCAGUCAGGGAGGGGCAGCGAGCUCACGGCCAGGCAGCGCCACAGCACUGGCGACCCUCAGGGAGAACAGGCACUACCCAGGGCUGGAUGCGUAACGGGCCCCCCGGCCACACCCCACCGCCCACCAGAGCCGCAGCUCCUGAGAACGCAUCCGGAGGCAAGGCCAAAGUCAGCCAUGGCACAAACAUUUGUGCAUCAAGGUCCUGUUGCCCUGCAACAACUCACCACAAACAGAGGGGUGGAAACCUCCAUGUCAUUGGACGGCCCAGCGGCCAGAAGUCCAACGCCAUCUCCCUGGGCUGAUGUCUGUGCAAGCAGGGCUGAUGCCGUAGCUUUUCCGGCUUCUGGAAGCUGCCACAGCCCCUGGCUCAUGGCACCAUCCUCACAUCCUCUGAAUCCACAUUCUCCUCUGAAUCUCCUGCCUCCCUCUUUCCACUGUAAGGACCCUGUGAUGACACUGCACCCUCAGACCCUGGUAACCCAGGUUCAUCUUUCCACCUCAGGGCGUCUGACUUAAGCCUGCCUGGAGGGUCCCUGUGGUCACAUUCAUGGGUUCCAGUGUUCAGACACGGCCACUUUGUGGGAUCAUUACUCUGCCUACCACACCAUGUGGCCCUGUGUGUGUUUUCAGGGGGCAUUUGCACUUAUAUGCAAAUAACACAUAUAUGAAUAAACGUGUGAAUGGUGGUCACGUA